UACGGAGGGUGCAAGCGUUAUCCGGAUUCACUGGGUUUAAAGGGUGCGUAGGCGGCUAUAUAAGUCAGUGGUGAAAGCCCGCAGCUCAACUGCGGAAUUGCCAUUAAAACUGCAUAGCUUGAAUCUGGUUGAAGUGGGCGGAAUACAUCAUGUAGCGGUGAAAUGCUUAGAUAUGAUGUAGAACACCGAUUGCGAAGGCAGCUCACUAAGCCAACAUUGACGCUGAGGCACGAAAGCGUGGGGAGCAAACAGG
rnacentral:rRNA from 1 species